rnacentral:misc_RNA from 1 species
GAGUUAAGGGACGUAACAGAGAACUUUGGAACUAGCGCUCUAAUUGGAGAGGGUUCUUAUGGUAGGGUGUAUUAUGGCAUCCUUAGGAAUGGGAGAACUGCCGCCAUAAAAAAACUAGAUGCCAGUAAACAACCAGAUCAAGAAUUUCUAUCACAGGUUUCCAUGGUGUCAAGACUGAAACAUGAAAAUGUUGUCGAGCUCCUUGGCUACUGUGUUGAUGGAAACCUCCGUGUCCUUGCGUAUGAGUUUGCAACAAUGGGAUCUCUUCAUGAUAUUCUCCAUGGGAGAAAAGGUGUUAAAGGAGCACAGCCUGGUCCAGUUCUAUCAUGGACACAACGAGUGAAAAUUGCAGUUGGUGCAGCAAAAGGACUUGAAUACCUGCAUGAGAAAGCACAACCACAUACUAUACACCGUGACAUAAAAUCCAGC